rnacentral:lncRNA from 1 species
CGCUCACCUUCGUCUAUGUGAAUACUAAAGGAAGCAGAUGGAUUCAUGACAAAAUUGUGUUUUGGUGAUGGUGAUGUGUUUGUACAUCUUACUUUACUGAACAUUCUUGCUGUUUAAAAUUAUCUCUAUCUAUAAUGAACUUGGCCCAUUAGUUUCAGUGGAAAAUGUCAGUAAAAAUUUACAAAUUUUAUGAAAAUUGUUAAAAAUUGUUAAAAAUUGACUAUAAAGAACAAUAACUCCUAAGGGGGUCAAUUGACCAUUUCGGUCAUGUUGACUUAUUUGUAAAUCUUACUUUGCUGAACAUAAUUGUUGUUUACAGUUUAUCUUUAUCAAUAAUAAUAUUCAAGAUAAUGACCAAAAACAGCAAAAUUUCC